AAGAAAGGGUAGGAGAAUAUUUGGGAGAAUCGAGGAUCCGCCACGAAACUUCGUCCAGAACCGAGGAAAGGUCUUCCACUGAUUUCGUGAACAAACAUGGCCGAAAACGUGAAGGUCUGAGAGAUCUCCCAAGAUCGGAGGGGAGAAAAAAUAUUCUGACGACCACGUGUCGCUGGCGACCGAAGAAACACGUCUCAGUCGAAGAUGCACACGCAUCAAUUUUUAGGUGGAGACGCGCGUCAAACAUCGGGUGGAGCAACGCAGUCUUGUCCUUUUGGUGACACGCCGCCGACCCGACCCACUAACCUGCAUACGAACAAGCUUUGAUCAGUGGCCCAGCGAAGCAGUCAACUGGUCCAACACAAAUCGUGCGACCUGAAUUGGACCGCGACCCGCAACGGCUAAUUCCUGUCUGCGCAUGGUACGCGUGUGUGAGAAGCUCAACUAGCCUUCGCCUAAGUGCGUGGGAGCGCGUGUGUCUGUUUUCGCCCCGUCCGUCUUUUUUUUUUUUUUUUCUAAUUCCAAUUCUAACAAUGUUUUUAUGCAAACUAGGACUUAAUUGGAAAAAUCAGUA